AGUGGGUGUAACGUACCCACUAGCCUACGACGGGUACGGGUUGUGAGAGCAAGAGCCCGGAGAUGGAUUCUGAGACAUGAAUCCAGGCCCUACGGGGUGCAGCAGGCGCGAAAACUUUACAAUGCGGGCAACCGCGAUAAGGGGACCUCGAGUGCUGGGUUACAAACCUGGCUGUUGGGCUGCCUAAAAAGCAGUCUAUAGCAAGGGCCGGGCAAGACCGGUGCCAGCCGCCGCGGUAACACCGGCGGCUCGAGUGGUAACCGCUGUUAUUGGGUCUAAAGGGUCUGUAGCCUGCCGGCUAAGUCUCUUGGGAAAUCUGGCAUCUCAAGUGUCAGGCUGCCAGGGGAUACUGGUCAGCUUGGGACCGGGAGAGGUGAGAGGUACCUCAGGGGUAGGGGUGAAAUCUUGUAAUCCUUGAGGGACCACCAGUGGCGAAGGCGUCUCACCAGAGCGGAUCCGACGGCAAGGGACGAAAGCUAGGGGCACGAACCGGAUUAGAU
rnacentral:rRNA from 1 species